GAUAAAGGAAUUUUUGUUCAUA
rnacentral:miRNA from 1 species